rnacentral:rRNA from 1 species
ACAGCAGUCGCCACGGGAAUACGUAGGGUGCAAGCGUUAAUCGGAAUUACUGGGCGUAAAGCGUGCGCAGGCGGUUAUAUAAGACAGAUGUGAAAUCCCCGGGCUCAACCUGGGAACUGCAUUUGUGACUGUAUAGCUAGAGUACGGCAGAGGGGGAUGGAAUUCCGCGUGUAGCAGUGAAAUGCAUAGAUAUGCGGAGGAAUACCGAUGGCGAAGGCAAUCCCCUGGGCCUGUACUGACGCUCAUGCACGAAAGCGUGGGGAGCAAACAGGAUUAGAUACCCCAGUAGUCCCUGUCUCUUAUAC